rnacentral:snRNA from 1 species
GUGCUCACUUGGCAGCACAUAUUACUAAAAUUGGAAAGAUACAGAAGAAUUAGCAUGGCCCCUGCACGAGGGAUGAACGCAAAUUCCGUGAAGCAUUCCAUAAUUUU